rnacentral:rRNA from 1 species
AUUGAACGCUGGCGGCAUGCCUUACACAUGCAAGUCGAACGGUAACAGGUCUUCGGAUGCUGACGAGUGGCGAACGGGUGAGUAAUACAUCGGAACGUGCCUAGUAGUGGGGGAUAACUGCUCGAAAGAGCAGCUAAUACCGCAUACGACCUGAGGGUGAAAGGGGGGGAUCGCAAGACCUCUCGCUAUUGGAGCGGCCGAUAUCAGAUUAGCUAGUUGGUGGGGUAAAGGCCUACCAAGGCAACGAUCUGUAGUUGGUCUGAGAGGACGACCAGCCACACUGGGACUGAGACACGGCCCAGACUCCUACGGGAGGCAGCAGUGGGGAAUUUUGGACAAUGGGCGCAAGCCUGAUCCAGCAAUGCCGCGUGCAGGAAGAAGGCCUUCGGGUUGUGAACUGCUUUUGUCAGGGAAGAAAUCUUCUGGGCUAAUACCCCGGGAGGAUGACGGUACCUGAAGAAUAAGCACCGGCUAACUACGUGCCAGCCGCCGCGGUAA